rnacentral:rRNA from 1 species
GAACGCGAAGAACCUUACCCGGGCUCGAACGGCGGACGAAUAUGUUAGAGAGAGCAUAGUCGCAAGACAUCCGUCGAGGUGCUGCAUGGUUGUCGUCAGCUCGUGCCGUGAGGUGUCGGCUUAAGUGCCAUAACGAGCGCAACCCUUGCCGUCAGUUGCCAUCAGGAAAAGCUGGGGACUCUGUCGGGACUGCCACCGCAAGGUGUGAGGAAGGGGGGGAUGACGUCAAAUCAGCACGGCCCUUACGUCCGGGGCUACACACGUGUUACAAUGGCGACUACAGAGGGGAGCCACCCGGUGACGGGGCGCCGAUCUCCAAAAGUCGUCUCAGUUCGGACUGGAGUCUGCAACCCGACUCCACGAAGCUGGAUUCGCUAGUAAUCGCACAUCAGCCAUGGUGCGGUGAAUACGUUCCCGGGUCUUGUACACACC